rnacentral:lncRNA from 1 species
GAAAAACAUGAAAGCUGGCAUGAAGUUUUAUUGGAAAUGAUGCAUUUUCAUUGUCAGCAGCAGGGAAAUGAGUGCUGGAGUGACAGAAGGAGUUCAUCAAAGGCUGAGAUGGAGCUGUAACAUCCUGCCUGGAAAUGGGAGCCUUUCCACCAGAGUGCUGACGGACCACCAGACUCACUCUGCCAAAGAGAAAAGUUAAUCUGCAAUAACUGGGGCUCAGGUUUGAGGCCAGAGCACUUCUGCUCACCAGCAAUGACCGCCUCUACAGAAGCUGUCAGCAGAGGUCCCUAUGGUCUGCUGAAACCUGGAGCUCCCCUUUUCCUCCCAGGAUAUGAGGAUGGACAUAAACGCAUGACUGUGAAACUACACACUGCUUUUACCUUGUACCUUGGCAGUGUCAUCAAGUCCUUCACUGGCUUCCAGGCGAUGACCAAAGGCCCAUCCCUUCCACAGGCACCAACAAAGGCUGUGCAUUGUGGUCACUGAGGGUGGACAGAGCCACUCCCCAGCCCUGGGGCAGCCGCUGCUGCUCACCCUCCCCCAGGC